rnacentral:sRNA from 1 species
UCAUCGAUCUAAAUCGGCCGUCCGGGCCGUU